rnacentral:rRNA from 1 species
AUGCAAGUCGAGCGGAACGAUCCUAGCUUGCUAGGAGGCGUCGAGCGGCGGACGGGUGAGUAACGCGUAGGAACUUACCCAGUAGUUGGGGAUAGCCCGGAGAAAUCCGGAUUAAUACCGAAUAAUCUCUAAGGAGGAAAGUGGGCUUCGGCUCACGCUACUGGAUGGGCCUGCGUAAGAUUAGCUAGUUGGUGUGGUAAAGGCGCACCAAGGCGACGAUCUUUAGCUGGUCUGAGAGGAUGAUCAGCCACACUGGGACUGAGACACGGCCCAGACUCCUACGGGAGGCAGCAGUGGGAAUAUUGGACAAUGGGGGCAACCCUGAUCCAGCCAUACCGCGUGUGUGAAGAAGGCCUUCGGGUUGUAAAGCACUUUCAGACAGGAGGAAAAGUUGAUGGUUAAUACCCAUCAGCCGUGACGUUACUGUCAGAAGAAGCACCGGCUAACUCCGUGCCAGCAGCCGCGGUAAUACG